CAAGUCGCGAACAAAGGAUUUGGAUGCUAGAGGGGAGUUAUAAGGGGCUUAAAAUCAGACCUCAAAACCAAUUGGAGAGGAAUUUUCCUGAGGAUAGACGCUCGACUCAUCGCUCUGCAGAUUUCCCUUCUCCUGCGAGACUCAGCCUGGCGAGCACGAUUGCUUGGCGACUGGUUGGCGACUUUGCUUCGGGAGAGUUCGUGGCGAUCUCUUUAGACGGGUUACAGGGUCAUCGAUACACCGUGCAUCAACAAAUUUCCCUUCUCCAGCGAGACUCAGCCUGGCGAGCACGAUUGCUUGGCGACUGGUUGGCGACUUUGCUUCGGGAGAGUUCGUGGCGUUCUCUUUAGACAGGUUACAGGGUCAUCGAUACGCCGUGCAUCAACAAAUUUCCCUUCUCCUGCGAGACUCAGCCUGGCGAGCACGAUUGCUUGGCGACUGGUUGGCGACUUUGCUUCGGGAGAGUUCGUGGCGAUCUCUUUAGACGGGUUACAGGGUCAUCGAUACACCGUGCAUCAACAAAUUUCCCUUCUCCUGCGAGCCACAGCCUGGCGAGCACGAUUGCUUGGCGACUGGUUGGCGACUUUGCUUCGGGAGAGUUCGUGGCGAUCUCUUUAGACGGGUUACAGGGUCAUCGAUACACCGUGCAUCAACAAAUUUCCCUUCUCCUGCGAGACUCAGCCUGGCGAGCACGAUUGCUUGGCGACUGGUUGGCGACUUUGCUUCGGGAGAGUUCGUGGCGAUCUCUUUAGACGGGUUACAGGGUCAUCGAUACACCGUGCAUCAACAAGUGGAUGCUGAGAAAUCGCUGCUGGAGUGGCUGGAGGGUCAAAGUUUUGAGGACUUCUGUUAACUCUUGAAGUCCUGGAAUGUGCAUGUUUGUGUCUCUGUUAGAUCAAUCGAUAAGGUAAACAUUAUUAUUUCCGUGAUUUCCAGUACUCCAAGCUAGAGCGAUGUUGUGAAUGCUCUAUGAUGUGUUGGGAUAAAAAGGAAUUCCUUUUAAGCUCCAGAAGUGUUCACUUAUUUCAGGAUGACAACAAUUUUAUACUUCCACAGAUGCGUUGCUUCGUCUGGUGGUUGUAUCAUCGGGACUGUUAAAUGUGUGGUGUUUAUGGUAGAAGGUGCCACGUGUUGUCAUCUUCUCACAGCUACUUGAGUGUUGAAGUUGCUUCUAGACUUC